GAUGAACGCUAGCGAUAGGCUUAACACAUGCAAGUCGAGGGGCAGCACAAGGUAGCUUGCUAUCUGGGUGGCGACCGGCGCACGGGUGCGUAACGCGUAUGCAACUUGCCCUAUACAGGAGGAUAACCCGUCGAAAGACGGACUAAUACUGCGUAUGCUCACAACUUGGCAUCAAGUGGUGAGGAAAGAAAUUCGGUAUAGGAUAGGCAUGCGUCCCAUUAGCUUGUUGGUGAGGUAACGGCUCACCAAGGCAACGAUGGGUAGGGGAACUGAGAGGUUUAUCCCCCACACUGGUACUGAGACACGGACCAGACUCCUACGGGAGGCAGCAGUGAGGAAUAUUGGUCAAUGGGCGCGAGCCUGAACCAGCCAAGUCGCGUGAAGGAUGACUGUCUUAUGGAUUGUAAACUUCUUUUAUACGGGAAUAACAAGAGUCACGUGUGACUCCCUGCAUGGACCGUAUGAAUAAGCAUCGGCUAACUCCGU
rnacentral:rRNA from 1 species